rnacentral:misc_RNA from 1 species
GCCACUGCUAGCAAAAACAUCAUCAAACUCCCCAAAUCCUUGAAAAAACUUGUGAGGCAUACGAGCAAUCUCUUGCCAUUCCUUACCAUUUAGGACCCAAAUCCCAAUCCCCUUAAUUAUGUCAGGCCGGUCUUGUUUACCAAUUCCUCCAACCAUUACCAGCUUCUCCUUCAAAUUCAUCAGACGUCCACAAGUAAGUGGACAAGGUACCGGAAUGAAACUCCUUAUCAAUAAACCAUGGGAAGAUCUACUCGAGAGAUUAUGUGUAAUUAGACCAUGGCGAUUCUCUGGUGUGCCACCCCCAGUUGAGUAAAUCAAAAUAUACAAAACCCCAUCACAGAUCACACUUUCAUCGCCACUUCUCCAUCCUGUUAACACCUCAGACCAAGAAGCCACCCACAUCCUUGUUUCAGAAUUAUAAGUAUAAAUAGAUAGAUCCCAUUGGAAAAAAUUUCCUGGGACUUGCUUAGACUUCACGAUUGAGAUAGUAUAUCCAUGCAGCAUCCUGUUCAC